AUGAGACUUUGGACCAUGAACUUUUGAGUUAAUGCUGAACAGCUCCACCUUGCAGAGAUGCUGUCAAAUAUGCACAAGCUCUUAUAUUAUCAGUGUCUUCCCAAGAUGAAGCCAAGUCCUGAUGAGCUGAAGCUAAGAGUUCUUUUCAUCUUGACAUACUGGCAGCCAGCUAACCCAACCAUGGCCCUAUUUUCUCCAACCAUUACUAAACAUGUGGAUGUGAUGGUGGAGCUGGAAUAGCUGUGACUUGGGGAAUGGAGGCCACAAAUGGCACAGCAACAGGAAGAAAGAAGCCUUGAUCUUUGAUAAUUCUGGAUGCUGGGAAGUGUAAGAUCAAGAUGGUGGCAGGUUCGACUGGUGAGAGUUGCAUUCUCCAGAUGGAAGAAACAUUGUGUCCUCAUCUGGUGGAAGGU
rnacentral:lncRNA from 1 species